AUAGUUCCAUAAACCAUCGUUGUAAGAAUUUUAUUCUAGCUCCUAAGGUAUCUGUUAAUUCUUCUUCAUUCCAACUUUUUAUUACUUUUGAAUUAAAAGGUUCUGGUAAUUUUGUAAAAUAUAAUUUUCUUAUUUCUU